GCAGGAGUUGCGCCGGAGUCAAGACAAUGAUCACGUUGGGAGUUCGAGAGUUUGACGGAAGUUCGGACAGUCGUCGGAGGUUCUGCGGGAACAAAUCCGAGAAGUCCAUAAGCUUGCCAAAGAAGCUCGUCAGAACUCGCCAAGUGAAUCGUCGCAAGUCCAGGAGUUUGCCGGAAGUCCGCAGGAGCAUCACCGAGGGUUCAUCGGAUGAUCGACG
rnacentral:lncRNA from 1 species